GGACAGAGGGAUAAAGAGGAGCUAACCAGAAGUAGGGACUUGGGUAGGAGAGGGACGGUACCCAAGAAAGGAGUAGCGAGUACAAAGGCCUGGAGGGGAAGGAACAUUCCGGAAUGUGGGCACCUGUCCCUGGAUCUGGGACCUGGAGGGCAGCCUGGCAGGGGAGAAAAGAUCUCAGCCGUGGCAGCAGCGAGAGAAGUCGGGGCUGGCGAUAACUUAGGAGAUCGAGACAGAGAAAGUGAAAUGGGCCUCGCUGACAACCAGACACAACGUUUCCAACAGAAGAGAAACUGCUGGGAGCAGGUGGCCGAUGAGGCCACACGGCAACCAUAAAAAUGACACAAGAGCCCUGUCUUCUCCCAGGAGUCAGAGUCCGUUCCCGUCCCGCUUCGCUCCAGCUGGAUCUGCUUCCGUCGUUAAGAUAGUUGCCAAAUGGCCCAUCUUUUCCACAGCGUCCAGAACUGGCCUGUUUCUCGCUUCCCUCCCGAGAAGCGGCCGGCACAGCCUCCAGCUCCCUCCACUCCCCUUUCCAGGAAUCUCCUCGGGCUCCUCUCCUGGGGGUGGGGUGGGGGAGCUUGCGGCGGCAGCAAAAUCGGCCCAUCUUCAUCCGAUGUGGUCGGCGGCGUCUACAACAUGACACCCACGUGUGGGCACACACACACACACCCUCCACUCAGUUCUGACGCUUUUCACGACGGAAACCGAAUCCCGACUCCAACCGUCUUAACAGUGGGAGCAUCUUCUGUCCCAUAAGAAGAGCAGAAGCAGAGCUGGCCCUGGGCUUCUGCUCGAUUUCCAGCUCUCCGGGCUCGACCUUCACCCCCACGUCGGCUUCAUCGCGUCACGUGGUUCCAGGUGUCCUGUCUUGUCCCCAGAAAGAAGAGCAGAAGGGCGUCUCCUUCUGGGCGGCUCACAUAGGAGGAAGGAACCCUUCCCCAGGAGUCCCGCAGCAGACACCUGUCUUCCUACCCCGUCACCCAUAGUUACAUCCCAGACUCCGGCCCGAGAUGCCUGCGGGGAGGAAAACGGCCACCACGACAAAUUAAUCUCAAAAUAUUGUCCCUGGGUGGCUC